rnacentral:tRNA from 1 species
GCGGGCGUGGCGAAAUUGGUAGACGCACCAGGUUUAGGUCCUGACGCUUUUAUGCGUGUCGGUUCAAGUCCGGCCGCCCGCA